AUCGUUAGAGGUGGCAAAUUUCGUUGCAACCACGCACCCUAUAGGUUAAAAGAGAUGCAAGAGAUGUGACGCUUGCCUAACGGU
ncrna:unclassified sequences skipping-rope RNA